rnacentral:rRNA from 1 species
CAGUAGCCGCGGGAAUACGAGGGGGGCAAGCGUUGUUCGGAAUUAUUGGGCGUAAAGGGUGCGUAGGCGGCUUGACAAGUCUUGUGUGAAAUCUAUGGGCUCAACCCAUAGUCUGCACGGGAAACUGUCGGGCUUGAGAAUGGGAGAGGUGAGUGGAAUUUCCGGUGUAGCGGUGAAAUGCGUAGAUAUCGGAAGGAACACCUGUGGCGAAAGCGGCUCACUGGACCAUUUCUGACGCUGAUGCACGAAAGCUAGGGGAGCAAACAGGAUUAGAUACCCCCGUAGUCCCUGUCUCUUAUAC